rnacentral:rRNA from 1 species
AGUGCACGCUGGCGGUAGGCCUAACACAUGCAAGUCGAACGGCAGCACAGUAAGAGCUUGCUCUUACGGGUGGCGAGUGGCGGACGGGUGAGGAAUACAUCGGAAUCUACUUUUUCGUGGGGGAUAACGUAGGGAAACUUACGCUAAUACCGCAUACGACCUACGGGUGAAAGCAGGAGAUCUUCGGACCUUGCGCGAUUGAAUGAGCCGAUGUCGGAUUAGCUAGUUGGCGGGGUAAAGGCCCACCAAGGCGACGAUCCGUAGCUGGUCUGAGAGGAUGAUCAGCCACACUGGAACUGAGACACGGUCCAGACUCCUACGGGAGGCAGCAGUGGGGAAUAUUGGACAAUGGGCGCAAGCCUGAUCCAGCCAUACCGCGUGGGUGAAGAAGGCCUUCGGGUUGUAAAGCCCUUUUGUUGGGAAAGAAAAGCAGCAGGUUAAUACCCCGCUGUUCUGACGGUACCCAAAGAAUAAGCACCGGCUAACUUCGUG